GUCAAAGAUAGCACAUCUGAAAUCCAGCAGGGGAGUCUCAUUCCUUCUCUUCACUGGAGCCUAAAAUGGGUCGCUGAGGCUGCUUGACAAAGGCAGAGACUGAAGGCUGACCCUUAGACACAAGCGAGGGGACUACAGAGUCCCCGAGAGGAAGGCUGCUAGGAAGCUGCUGAGGGCUGACCCAAGGCACGCUGGGCAAACCUCCAGGUGCCAGGCCAGCAGGAGAGCAUCUGCUGCACCUGCCCAUCGCAGGUGGUAAUCAAGAUGGCAGACCAAGAAUCAGGGCACCUGGGCACCGCCGUUAUCUCACUGGGUUCUCUCCAAGCCCUGGAAGCUACUCGACCUGCUCUGCAACUCGAGGGAUGAGAAGGGAAACAAAAGAGUGUAUCAAUUCAGGAGAUUUACCAUGAAUGCAGCACAUGUCACAAAGAAGACGUGAGGACAUGGGGGCUGUCCGGUCAGCUCACCAGCCAGAUGGCUUCUUCCCACUCGCCAGCUAUGACUCGACAAGCUCAAAGUCAGAGUCUCAGCAAAAUGACCCCUUCCCACAUGCAAGGGACCUUUGACAUCACCUGGGAAUCCACUGAAAAGGCAAACAUUACAUCUGAGAAUCACAAGGGUCUAACGUAGAGUUCGUAGGCCGGCAGCCCAAAGGCUGAAGCCAGCCUGCAGAUUGCGUUGUGUGACUUUUUUUAAAAAUUGGAAACAGAUGCUAAGUUAAAAAAAAAAAAAAGAAUAGGAAAUCCACCUGAAAAUCGGGAUUCCUGGCAUCUCUUGAAAAGUCCUAUGAUCUGACGUGGCAAUCGUGAGCUGGGGGGCAGCUCCUGCUGCAGGCGUGGCAUCAGUGAUGGUCACGUGCCUGUAAGCCCGGAAACUGUGCACGAUUUGUGCCGUGAAAGGUCCAGGGAAACAUCUGGCUUAGCCCUGUUUUGUCCUGAGCGGCACAUACUCCCUCUAAAAUCCACCCAGGAGGGGGAAGGGGGCUGCCCGCUGGGACAAUAGCUUACGUCUGAGUAUUCCAGAGCCUCUGUGCAUUUUAAGUUGGCUCAGCCUCGGCAGGCUACACGCUUCCCACAGCGUAGGAGACCGCGACAAAUGGCCACAAAUGCCUCCCACCUGCAUCCCACCUGCAAUGUGCCAUAUCGCCCUGUGACGCUGCAGCAUCUCCCAUCAAAAGGUGGGUGGAAUCUGUUUCUCUAGCUGGGCAUGGCCUGGUGACUUCCUUUGGCCAACAGGUCCUUAGCAGUCACGACCAAGCGGAGCCUAACUUAAGAAAGGACUUACAUGCUGGGGUGUGUCCUCUCGGGCUGCCUGGAGACCACCAGGCGCUGGGUAAUGAGACCACGUGGAGCAGAGACGAGGCAUCCCAGCUGAGGUCCUUGGGCCAGCGGGACUGCCAGACGCUGUGAGGGUGGCCGUGCGAGACCAGCCAGCCAGGCACCCACUAUGGAACCGGCCAGCCCCCCUGCAGCAAUAAUAAAAGCAUUGUUGCUUGCAGCCACUGCAGUGUGGAGGGGAUUGUUAGGCGGCAAGAGAUAGUUGAUACACCUGGCUUGUCCAGGCCUGUGCUCUUCUCAUCUCUGAAGCUUAUUUGGGGGCCUCUCCACAGGCAGAUGCUGUCUGUAACCCUUAAUACCCAUUCUUCUGCUGCUGUCUCUUCGUGAGCCCAGGAAUGCACGUGAUUUUUAAUGAUUUUUCAAGGAAGGCAGUCAGCCCCCAUCUCCCCAUCCCUGACUAAAUGACUUUACUCUUUCCUCGCAUAUUACAGUCCUUUGCUCUGCACCCGGCCCCUGAAGAAUUUGUAGCAAAGUGUCCUGUGUGGUUAAUUUUUGUAAGAAAUGAGCAGCAGUUGCUUUCAUCCUCCCAGCAGCAGCGACCUUCACGGCAUCCAUGUUUCCCUUCAGGGAACCACCUCUUCUCCAUCUUCUCAGUCUACAUGCUUUGGACGGAUCUGGAUCUGCCCCCACUCCUGGCCCUUCCUGGGCCCUUGAGAGAACAGGUGCCUCUCUCCCUGACUACAGAGACUGGAGAUCGGUUCAGGGUAGAGCCGGUUCUUGGACUCUGCUGGAACUAUUUGGAGAGGAGCAGUCCCUUUCCCCGGGGGUUGCUAAGUCAGUAAAUGCGAGCCUGGAGCCACCAGGGACCAUCUCCAGACCACGCCUGAGACUACGGAUGUGGUUCUCAAAGUGUGGUCCCUGGAGCAGUAACAUCAGUAUCACCUAGGAACUUGUUAGGAAUUAAAACACUUAGGCUCCACCCUAGAUGCACUGAAUUAAAAAUUGGGCAGGGUCCAACAAUCUGGUUUUAAUUUGCUUGGCCAAUAAUUCUGAUGCAUGUUCAAGUUUGAGACCCACUGGACUCAAAAAGUAGAGCUAAGUGAUGAAGAAACAGUUCCUGGUGAUAGCAUCAUCUGAGUACCUGGAUCCCACCAUACCUGAGGGCAGAUCUAUAGUCCUGGACUUUUCAGGUCUCUGAGCGAUACAUUUUCCUUUGUUGCUUCAGCCAGUUUGCAUUUCUGACACUUGCUAUUAAUAAUGAACACUGACAUAUGCUAUGAGACUCUGGACUUUGGCAGAAUGGUCUUCCUGCUGCAGGUUUUCUUGACAGAAAUGCUAACUGCGCUAACUGCAGGGCUGUUAGGGUCUCCUAAUUCACUCACGCUGAGGGCUGUUACUUUAUUUCUGUGGUUGGCAGCUUGUCCGGGUAAAGUGGUUCCGAUAUAUAACUUCCCUAGAGCACUCUGACGACUUGGACAGUAAACUUUCUGCAGUAAAGACUGAUCUUCUUUCACCUUCAACAAGACAACAGGUCUCUGGAAGUUUCCUGGAAGGUUUAUUGAUAGAGACUAAAGUAACCCAGGGCAUGAGGCCCUUUCAUUAGAACAAGGGACAGUUAUAGUGAUAGAGAGGAAUUAAGCUCUCGUGGAGUUGCACCAUAUGUACAUUUAAUUGACAUAAAUUCAAUUUUAUGACCUUGGCCAAAGAUAAAGGAGCAAGGAGAGAAAUAACUCUUUUAAGAGAGCAGGCAAUAGGUUACACUUAUGGUAAUGGCAGGCUAUCUAAUCCAGACCAACCUGUCCCUGGAGCACAACUAGAAAACCUGGACCAAAUAGUAGUAUAAAAAUCUGUUUAUAAAAAGAAAUCUGUUUGAAGGCAUGGAGAGUGAACAGGGCUGUGAAGGGUUACAGGCAGGAGAACAGAAACCUAGAGAGGUGACCCCAGCACAUGGGAAGUGUUUCCCCUCAAGGUGCUGCUGAUUCUAAGAGCUGUUGCAAGGCUGAGAAACUGAAGAGAGCUGGUGACAGACUCAGGGCUACAGUCCGAGAGUCAGGGUGACCUAGAAAGAGCCAGGCGUGAAGGGCACAGAAAGGUUAACAAUGUAGGCAAAUCUAAAUUACUAUUGACUAUUUUAAUAAUAAUAAUGAUGUCUGGUGAGGUUUAAUAUCUAGAGAGAAUUAAAAUGCAUGACAAUAAUAGCAUUUAAUUUUGGAUGGGAGUAAAUGGAGUUACACAGUUGUAAGGUCUCCACUGAAUGAGAAGCAGUAAACUUGCUAAUUUAAAGUAGACUCUAAUAAGUCAAGAAUACAUGCUGCGAUCUCUGGUAAUGACUAAAGAAUAGUAAAAGAAUGUAUAACUAACAAGCUAAUAGAGAAGAAAAAAGAGGGAUAAUGUAAAGUAAUCAGUUCAGAAUAGGGCAAGAAAGGAGAGAAAAAGGAACAUAAAACAGGCAGAACAAAUAAAAAGCAAACAAUAAAAUGGCAGAUUUAAACUUAAAUAUAUCUGCAAUUACAUUAAACGUAAAUGGACUAAAUGUGCCCAUUAAAACACAUCGAUUGUUAGAGGAUAAAAAUAAAAACCAAUUACAUGGGGUUUACAAGAGACAAACCCCAAUGUAAGGAUGCAGAAUGUUUGAAACGAAAGGAUGAAAAAGGAUACGCUACAUAAACACUAACCAAAAGAAAGCUGGUCAACUUUAAGACAAAAGCAUUAUUAGAGUGAAAAAGAGACAACACAUGGUGAUAAAAGGUUCAGUUCACCAGGAAGAUAUAAAAAGGCUGAUUUUGUAUGCCCCCCAGGAAGAUGUCCCCCCCACAAACAGAAAGUAAAGCAUCUAAGCAGUCCAGAUUUUGCCUGGACACGUGACAGCUGGUUUGAGUCUUCUGUCCUUUCAGCAAGUCUCAGGGUCCUGUGCCUCUGGAGGAAGGAAUAUCUCAGUGACCUCAGCAUAAUGCCAGUGCUUAGAGUCACAUUUUCCCUACAACCAGACCCUAAACAAGGCCAACUGCUUCAUCUGGGGCUUGAGCAAGAAGCUGUGAUUGUCCCCACCCUGGAGGAGCAAUGACUCUCUUGGGCUUCAGGAGAGGUGACAUGGCUGUAUGGGGUUUUCUAGAAGGAGCCACAUACGCUGCACUUGAUCAUCAGUAUGAGGGAUUUUCAAGGGUAGCUUUAACCACCUGCACUUUUUUUUGACCUUUAGAACCUCAUCCCCGUGGGACAUGUGGCUCCAAUGUCAUCCCAUUUCAGUAUGAGGGUGGUAACAAUGCCAUGGUUUUCAACUUUCCUUUUUUUCAAAUUUGGCCUAUGUAGGAGCCAUGUGUACUUAACAGAUAAAGGCUGACCUCCAAACCUGUUCAAAAUGAGGAUGCCGCCACCUCAAACAGUGUCCUCUUUGAGGGAGUCAAUGGGACAAACUGAGAACCAAGUGCCAGGGACAGCUGGUAAUCUGAUUUUUACCAGAUGGACCCAGUGACAUGUGCUGUUUAUGUGAAUGCAUUGCUUCCUUGCCAUGGUGGUCAGGAAACUCAAAGUCAUGAGUGUGACCCCCUGAGGCAUUCAUCUGUUCACCCCUUGGCGUCAACUUAUUGUUCCUACUCUUGUUUUCCCUUUACCUUCAUUUCCUUACAUAUUUGUUAAAGUCUUCUUGCACUACAAAAUUUGUUAGAACAUGUCAGAACUUCUUGGAGAAAGGCAGAUUAUAAAUAAUUAAAGAAGCUCGACUGCUCAAAAAACUGUACAUGAAGGUGUGUGUUACAGUUGACUUGUUGAAGUCUUAACCUCCUAGUACCUGUGAAUGUGACCUUAUUUGGAAAUAGGGUCUUUGCUGAUGAUCGAGUUAAGAUGAGGUCAUUAGGGUGGGUCUCAAUCCAAUAUGACUGGUACCCUUAUAAAAAGGGGAAACUUGGACCCAUUGUAUGCAGGAAAGCACCAGGUGAAGGUUGGAGUUAUGUUGCCACAAGGCAAGGAAAUACCAGAAGCUAGGAGAGAAGCCUGGUGCAGAUUCACCCCUAGUGCCUUCAGAAGGAACAUGGCCCUGCUGACACCUUGAUCUUGGACUUCCCAGCCUCCAGAAAUGUGACGCAAUAACUUUCUAUUGUUUAAGCCAAUCAGAUUGUGGUACUUUGUUACAGCAGCCCUGGGAAAUGAAUACAGUAUUUGAAAUGAUUUUAGCUGAUACAUGGUUUAACUUUAAAAAUGUUAACUAUAUAUUUAUAUUAAUGAACAUUAGAAAAAACAGAACAAGUGACUCCAACCUGUGGAUUUUAGGCACGUCAUUGCUUAGAACUAGACUGAUGUGGGUAUGUCGCAAGCAAAUAGCAGUUUAGUUGACACAUGAGGGGCCAUGCAGUGGAGUGAUUUAGAACAGAUACUCUGCAGCCAGGUUUUAAACACUGGCUCUACACUUACUGGCUGUGUGACCUUGGACAGAUUCCUCAACCUCUCUGUGCCUUGGUUUCCUCUGUAUAAUAGUGUUGAUAAUAGCAGUACCUACUGCACGGGGUUGUUUGGGUGAUUAAAUGCAAGAUUAACACGUGUGGUACAAAACACAGCCUGGGCGCUGGUUCAGUGCUUUGUAAGUGCUGGUUCUUCAUUUUAUUACCCAGAAACGUAAAUAUUUAGUGAUCAUGGCCAGCACAUGAAGGAGGGAGAUCCCAGUGAGCCCAGUAG